rnacentral:misc_RNA from 1 species
AAGUCGUAACAAGGUCUCCGUAGGUGAACCUGCGGAGGGAUCAUCUAUAAAAAAAAUAUGAUGAUGAUGAUGAUGAUGAUGAUGUUUAUUCAUCAUCAUCAUCAUUAUUCAUAUAUUAUCCAUUAUAGGAUGUUUUGGUGUUGUUAUUAUAUAAUAUUCUUAUAAUGUUGCAGGAUGGAAUUGUGUGUAUGUGUGUGUGUGUCGGUGUUUGUGUGUGUGUUGUAUGUGUGUUUGUGUUUUAAGGAGUAUUGUUACUCUUUUUAACCUUCCCCACAUACACUCUACUCUUAUUACUACCCAUCACUACACCAAUAAAAAACCAACCAGGAUCAUAAAUUCCAAACAAAGUUUAUAACUUUUGGCAACGGAUCUCUUGGUUCUC